rnacentral:rRNA from 1 species
AUUGAACGCUGGCGGCAUGCCUUACACAUGCAAGUCGGACGGCAGCACGGGAGCAAUCCUGGUGGCGAGUGGCGAACGGGUGAGUAAAGUAUCGGAACGUGCCCAGUCGUGGGGGAUAACGUAGCGAAAGUUACGCUAAUACCGCAUAAGAACUAUGGAUGAACGCGGGGGAUCGCAAGACCUCGCGCGUUUGGAGCGGCCGAUAGCAGAUUAGGUAGUUGGUGGGGUAAAGGCUCACCAAGCCGACGAUCUGUAGCUGGUCUGAGAGGACGACCAGCCACACUGGGACUGAGACACGGCCCAGACUCCUACGGGAGGCAGCAGUGGGGAAUUUUGGACAAUGGGCGAAAGCCUGAUCCAGCCAUGCCGCGUGCAGGAUGAAGGCCUUCGGGUUGUAAACUGCUUUUGUACGGAACGAAAAGGUUUGGCCUAAUAAGCUGAGCUCAUGACGGUACCGUAAGAAUAAGCACCGGCUAACUACGUGCCAGCCGCCGCAGUAA